rnacentral:tRNA from 1 species
UAGCUCAGUUGGUUAGAGCGUGGUGCUUAUAACACCAAGGCCGCGGGUUCGAUCCCUGC